rnacentral:sRNA from 1 species
AUCUCUCUUUCAAGGAGGCAGCAGGGAUUCGACUUCCCCUGGGGGUAGGGUACUACGAAAGGAAGUUGAUCAUGGAUUAUCCAUAAAGUUAGAAUAGAUUCUUCCUGGGUCGAUGCCCGAGCGGUUAAUGGGGACGGACUGUAAAUUCGUUGGCAAUAUGUCUACGCUGGUUCAAAUCCAGCUCGGCCCAAUAAUUAGCUGUCUACAUAACCAUUUUUUUUUUUUGCAUAAAUGACAGAGAAGGGGUAAGAAAAAAAGGUCAAAUUUCAGGGUAUAGGGUAUAGUUCGACUUUACUUUUUUUUU